rnacentral:rRNA from 1 species
GCCCGUCGCUCCUACCGAUUGGAUGACUCGGUGAAAUCACCGGAUGCUUACGAGCAGAAAGUGAUUAAAUCACGUUAUCUAGAGGAAGGAGAAGUCGUAACAAGGUAACGGUAGGUGAACCUGCCGUUGGAUCAGUUCUAGUUUUAAUAACUAACACCAACUUCUUUUAUUAAACAAAAACCAAUACAAAAUUAAAAACU